CCUACGGGUGGCAGCAGUGGGGAAUAUUGGGCAAUGGGCGCAAGUCUGACCCAGCAACGCCGCGUGAAGGAAGAAGGCUCUCGGGGUGUAAACUUCCUUUUAGAGGGGAGAGCAGAAGACGGUACCUCUUGAAUAGGCCACAGCUAACUAAGUGCGAGCAGCCGCGGUAAUACGUAGGUCGCAAGCGUUGUCCGGAUUUACUGGGUGUAAAGGGCGUGCAGCCGGGAAGGGAAGUCAGAUGUGAAAUGUCGGGGCUCAACCGCGGAACUGCAUUUGAAACUGUUGUUCUUGAGUAUAGAUGCGGUAAGCGGAAUUUCUUGUGUAGCGGUGAAAUGCGUAGAUAUAAGGCAGAACACCGGUGGCGAAGGCGGCUGAC
rnacentral:rRNA from 1 species